UCACGCAUCACGUCUCCUCGCCGCCGCCGCCUCCUACCCCCUAUUCUCCUACGGCGCCGUCGGCUCCUCCCACGCACCAGGUCUCCUCGCCGCCGCCGCCGCCUCCCACGCGCCAGGUCUCCUGCGCCGCCGUCGGCUCCUCGCACGCAUCAGGUCUCGUCGUCGGCACCGCCGUUGUCGCCUCCCCUAUCCUCCUUCGCCGCCAUCUACUCCGUCCCCGUCCCUGUCAGGUCCCUGAGCACGGGAUGCAAGGUAUGGAGUCAGCGCACAGCCCCUCGCCGACGCGGCCAUCAGCCUCCCCAUGACAAACCAUCGUGUCCACGAGCUCCAUCACCGCGAGAUCUCCUUCCCCACCGAAGAAAUCUGUCAGGUUUGUCCCAAAUUCGUGGUCACAUGAAGGUCAGCUUCCGUAACUUCUUUUUGGUAAGCGAGCCAAGAAGUUAAAUAAGCUUAUGAUUUGUGCCUUUUAUUCUUCAUCUAUUAGGUAUGUGGCUUAAAGAUCAGAGACUCGUACAUGAUUGUCAUAGUAUGCAGUGUCUACACAUUGCUUAGUUGUAAUAUCCUGUAUAAGAUGGACACGUUACCUUAGUGAUCAAUGUUGUUAUUGUCCGAAAAUAUGUGGUGGCCACUGAGGUUUCAAAUAGAUAAUGCGCAAAUACAACACAUAAGUUUCAUUGCACUGGAUGGUAACUCGAAUCAGCAUACCAUAUAAUCAUAAUUUUUUAAUCUUGGCACCAAGUGCGUUGUUCAGUGAUAUUAAGAAAUGUUAUUUCCUGUGCAGUCCAAUGAAAAAAAUGUUAAAAGCACAUGGUGUCCAUCAAAUUUUGUUCACCUGCUAGUAGCUGGAUUCCAAGCAUUGCAGGUACUCACGUGUGAAGUUCAUCAUUUUUGGGUAUAAUCUCACUGAACCGUUGCACCAGGAGUGCACAUUCCGAGCUACUGUUGCUUAUAUAAGUGUUAGUGGUUCACACCGUCUUCUUAGUGUUCUUGUGAUAGAUGAUUCAUGUAUGCUGAUACUUUACUCUACAACUCAAUAAAAGGACCAGCAUUUACACUCCUCUGAAUAAAGACAAUAUUUGUAUAUGGUUUCUUUGUUCAAUUUUCAUACCAUAAACAACUUGUGUUGAAUGAACAAGUUCCAUAUGUUGUUGAAGAGUAAAUCGUACAGGACACUUAUUUUUGAAUGGAGGGGGUACAUAACUUAUUAAUUUACCCCAUAAUAAGAAGUGUUGAUCUAACUCUCCUCUCACCCGAUUAUAUAUUAUUACAAAGCUUGCUUAUAGCUGGAAAACGCAGUUCACUGGAAGGCUGCAUCUCUCCCCUAUAUUUUUUUCCAUGCUACUGCAUUUUUUAGGUAUAUUGGUGUGGACACGUGAUUAAGAAAUGACAUGUAUUAUAUAUGAUCAGGUAUACUGCAACUUCAGACUACAACUUUUGCUUCUCUACAUCUGUUUGGUGAUUGCGUUUUCUUGAAUUGAAUUAUGCAUUCAAGGCCAUGGCACACAAAAAUAUGUGUCCUUCUGUUUAAAUGUAGUUUGAUAAGCUUAUAUAGCUGUAGCUGAAUGAACUGUGCAAAGGCAGUGCCUUCUCAUAUGUAUUUCGGAUCAAUAUUUUGCAGCUUGCAUUAAUUGUUUUUUAGCUGGCUACUUGCUACCUCUGCACAUAUAUAUACUAAUAUAAAUAUUGUGACAUGUUGUACUGCAACAAAAGGGGCGAGAACAAAAUAUAAGUAAGAUUGUAAAUUUCAUACAUAUUAACGUACUUCCAGAUUUGCAUCUAUGGUAAUGGCCUAUUCAACACUACAAUGCUACAGUAAAUGGAGCUUUGGUUGUAAGUACAUCAUAUCGAAUCUCUUUGAUCACAUGACUUUGAAAUCUUGUUAGUGAUAUACUGAUAUACAAAGUAGAUGAAAAUUCUAGUGGAAGUAAGUUCACAAUUUUCUGUUAGGAGUAAACUCGAUAAAUGACAGAUGCAUAUAUUUGUAACUCUUCAAGGGUUUGAUCAGGCUAAUUGAACACAAACACUGUUUAUUUGCUUUAGAACGGUGUGAACUUCAGUAUGCAUAGUACAAUGAUCUUACUAUAUUUUUUUAUGAUGUUUGAAGAAAAUUCUGUCUGCUAUGUUGCGAAGGCUGAGAGGAUGAUCCUUGCAUUGUCAAAAAGCGAUAUACUUGUGGAUUUCAUUUGUAUGAGGGUAGGAACUUAAAUUGCAAAUUAGAUUGAAAAGAUAAAUGGAUCAUUAUAUGGGUGUGUGACAAGUAUACUGCAAUUAUGACGAUGAAGUUCCUGAUGAUGAUGCUGAUUAUGAUGAUGGACGCUUCCAGUUUUAAUUAAGUUGUAGGGAUGAUGUUCCCUGGUUAUGUUUUAGUUAAGUUUUGGGAUGUUGAUGGAUGCUUUCAAUUUUAGUUUCAAUGUCAAGAAACUAUUUAGAUUAUUCAUCACAUGUGGAGGAUGUUUCUCUUGUAAUACCCACUGCUGUAAUUCAACAAUUUUAUCUCAUAUAUGAUUUCUCCCUCCCGUGAGUA